CCGGCCGCGUCCCUUACCCAGCAUCGGCCUCCUCCUCCCCCCAUGUCAAUGAUGGUCGCCUAGUGGAUGCAGACCGUCUUCUUUCCCGCCGCCGGCCACCUCUUCCCCUUGCUCUGGACGCCUCCGUCCCUCCCUCCACUGUGCGCCUCCUGCUGGAUCCCGCCUUUGAGCGCGUUGGCCGCCCUGGCCACAACCGUGCCUCGUCCUCCCCCGCGGCUACCCCCGCCAGGGGCUACCCAGCUCGCCGGAUCCGCUGGGUGCACGCGUUCCUCGCCGCCGUGAGUCACAAGGGAGGUUGAACGGGCUGCAGAAUGCGGGUUUGGUUGCCAUUGCGUCCAACAGUCCAACCCCAUCGCCCCAGGCCAUCCAGCGACCUGUCGGGCUAUAGUAUUCCAUUGCAAGUCGGUGAGCAACAUUAGCGACCGUACUCUCCAACUGCCCCAUGGAUAUUAUAUGAACAUUAGCAAUGCUAGUGAAGAUGGUGGGUGUGAUUCUACUUGGACUGGCGUCAACCCUCGACUUGGACGGCUG